rnacentral:tRNA from 1 species
AGCCCCGUAGUGUAGCGGUCAAAUGGAGCCUAGGAUAAGGUUUCAGGCGAAUCAUUCAACCCUCUGGAGGUUGGGACCCAGGUUCGAAUCCUGGCGGGGCUA